GCACUACUUCAGGGUUUGUUUGGUAAACAGAGACACGUGGUGUUGCUGUAAACAACAUUUUAAAGUAUUAGAAGCACAGUUUGUACAAGUGACGCCUGAACUCAUCUAGUUAAAACUCGGUUUGUCCGCCGUGAACCAGGACUUUAUAAUGGACAUUAUGAACGAGUCGCACAGAGCAGAUACCGGGUCUUACUCUGGGUUGUUAACCGGUUGUUAACCGGGACCUAGCACGCACUGGAACGGAGCCAGAGUUUUACCUCUGCAGACUGACGUUCCUCCUCAGUGCACCUUGGCAGUGGCCGGGAAAAACACCAGAAGCUGCUGGAUGGGUGGAGCCUGGAACAUCUGGAUCGUAAAGAAAUCACAACUGUAAUCCAUCUCAAAGUACAGAAACCCACUGCUCAGUGGGAUGAAGCAGUGGAGCAGAAUUUGUGAGUGCACUCUGUACGGGAUACACUUACAC